rnacentral:rRNA from 1 species
GACGUAGGGUCCAAGCGUUGUCCGGAUUUACUGGGCGUAAAGAGCGCGUAGGCGGCUCGUUAAGUGUGAAGUGAAAUACUCUAGGGGCUCAACCCCAGAAAACUGCUUUACAUACUGGCGAGCUGGAGUGAUGAAGAGGUUUGUGGAAUUCCUGGUGUAGCGGUGAAAUGCGUUGAUAUCAGGAGGAACACCCAUGGCGAAGGCAGCAAACUGGUCAUCAACUGACGCUGAGGCGCGAAAGCGUGGGGAGCAAACAGG